AGAACCUUGGUGUCAUCUGUGCUUUGUAUAACUUCGAGUGACUCCCCAGGUUUUAUCUGCAGAUCUCUCGCUCCCCACUUUUUAGAGGUUAAGGAGGAUGCAACUUUAGUUGAAUAUAGAACUCGAAUUUCACCGUCGUACUGGAAAAGGAAUGGACCCCUCCCUUGGGAACACGUCUUUCUAUAUUUCACCUAUGAGAAAUUUCCAAACGAUGACUGGCCUAAGCCAAAUAUUGCCAAAUGGAAUUAGGAGCCCACAAGUGAGAGAUUUCAAACUUUAAGAAGAGCCUGCCUUUCUCCCUGUCAACUGCCUACCAAAGUACCAUGGACAUUUUCCACAGGCCGUUUAGCACCCAGCCAUGCAUGAUUUGGAAAGCCCUGGCGAGACCCUGCUGAUGAAAUCGUAAGAUGAUCCUUUACUUACUUCAGGCGGAAGACAGUAGCUCAGUGUCUUUCUUCUGAUGUCAAAUGUUGUUUUAGGGCCAAGGAGAUAGCUCAGUAUGAUUUAGUGUUUGCUGUGCAAGCACAGGAUCUGAGUUCAAAUCCCCAGUGACUACUUAAAAAGGGCAUGACGGCAAUGUUACACAGCAUGUUCAGUUCACCCAGGGAGGUCAAGGGGAGGUGACAAGAUGGAUUAUUGGGUGAAGAAGCUUGUCGCCAGUGACAUCAAAAGUGCCCUGUAUCUUCAGUGAUGAGACUAUGCCAUUCUGUCUGUAAUGUUUAUAGCACUCUCUCUCCAUGCUUGGUUAUUCAUCCACAGGUAUGGUCUAUUCAUCCAACUAGAAGUUAUUUGCAAUAGAGACAAAACCCCAUGUAUGUAAUUCCUUUUGUAUUUUUGAGUAUAAACACAUAGUUGGGAGUCACUAAAUGUUGAAUAGGUCUAUGAAUGAGUAAAUGGUUUUCUGGGGGAAAGAAAGAGGAAAGUCAACCUCUGCUAGAGACAUCCACUCUUACUUUGAACCAUAGAGUUUUGCUAUACUAAAAUAUAUUAGGCAAAUUAUUGGAUCUAGAUCUAUAAUUUUCUUACCCUGGCAUAAAUAAGAAGCAUGCUUAGUAGACGGGCUCCAACAGUCUAGUAGAGGGAUUCUGCUUUCAAGUGGUCUUGGAUAAGCUCAGAGAUCUUGCUUAGAACACCAGAGAGUUCUUGUGCAAGUGACCUAUGGGCACUUUGUGUCCUAGGAGUGAACUUUGUUUGUUUGUUUGUUUUUUUUAAUUACGUAUUUUCNNNNNNNNNNNNNNNNNNNNNNNNNNNNNNNNNNNNNNNNNNNNNNNNNNNNNNNNNNNNNNNNNNNNNNNNNNNNNNNNNUGGAUACUUUCUCUAGCUCCUCCAUUGGGAGCCCUGUGAUCCAUCCAAUAGCUGACUGUGAGCAUCCACUUAUGUGUUUUCUAGACCCCGAGGAGUGAACUUUGUUGUCUCCUCUUGUGGACUGGAGAUCAUUCAGUCAGGUAACAGUAACAUUGCUAGUCAGAUAGAACUAUAAAUUAUGACAUAAAGACAAGUUUUAAGUAGGUUUUUCAAAAUAACUAAAAAACAAACAAAACAAAACAAAACAAAAAAGCUGGAAAUAACAUUCACCCAUUUUAUUUUACUGUACUGAGGAUAGCAGAUCUUAAGUUCUGAUUGGCAGCAUCAACAUCAACUGAGAACCUAUGAGGACCAAAGCUCAGGCCUAUUGCAGACCCACUGAGUCAGACACGCAGAGUCUGAUCCUGCAGCUGCCUUCUGCAGGUUUUCACGAGUAAGAUGCACACUGAGAUCUGAGCAGCAGUUCUGUAGUCCAGCAUGAGGAUGUUCGAAUUCAAGCCUGUGGGACUGGAGCAACUCCAUGAAGCGCUUGCCCUGCAAAAGUGACAACUGGCUGCCUGAACCCCACCACUGCCCGCUCUCCCUUCUUAGACAAUACCUAUUUUGACUCUUUAGUUUUCUUUCCAAUUUUUAUAAUUUAAUUUUACUUUUAGAAUUUCAUAUAUAAAUACUGUAUUUAAACUAUUUUUCAUCCCUCUCCAGCUUCUCCAAUAGCCUCCCCAUUUUAUGCAUUGUCAUUAUUAUCAGGUAUGCAUGAUGUGUGCACAGGAGGGUAGAGAAAACUUUCAGGACACAGCUCUCUCCUUAUACCAUGAGAUCCGGGUACUGAACCCAAGUUCUCAGGCUUCUGUGGCAAGCCCUUUCCUCAUGGGUCUGUCUUACUAGUCCACACUUUUUGCUCUUAACCAUACAGUAUCAACUGUUUUCUGAUAUUUUUGGUUAGGAUUUCAUUCUCUGAGAGUUCCUCUAUCACUCCUCACCUAUACUGCAAGGGGCAGGACAUUUAUGAACGUCUGUAAUUGAAGUAAGAGAAUGCAGAAAUUUUGAGGGACAGAAGCUCUUUUAGAAGGCUACAGGAUCGUCCUGUUAGAAACUGGAUGAAUGGGUUGCUGACAUGGGGGUGGCGGAGCUGAAGGGGAUGGUGAAGUCAGAUAACUAGGAGAGGUAUAUUCAAAGACUCGGGACCAGAAGGUAGCAUGUACCCUCUGAUGUAGACAUCAGUAUGAUAUGGCAGAAUAAAUGCUCUACCAUUUGUGGAAUAGUUGACUAAAGACUGAAUCACAGCACCCUAGAGUUAAAAGGACUCAUCAAUUUGUUGUUCCAGUAGUUUUCAAUGAUGUUUGUUGUAAACAGUGCGAUUGUUUUUUUUUUUUUUUCUAGAGUCACUUACUUCUGCACUGGACUUUGAAAUACAGCGGAAGAAAAUAAUUUAGGGUUCAGGAUGAUAUAACACAGGCUAACCCUUAAAAGCAUCCUCCAUUCUUUCCAAAGACAAGAGGUCCAAAGUCUGGCUAAGAGUAAUGGUUCACUCAGACACAAAGCUUAAAACCACAAGAUCUGGGAUAAGAACCUGCUUUUCUUAUUUAAGGUUGAAGAGGUUUCUUUGUUUGUUUGUUUGUUUUUUUUUAGCAUGCCAUGAAGCCAAAUAUGCUUUUUUCAAAAAUGCAGUUUGUCUCAAAGCCUCUGUAGGUAAACAUCUCCCUUUAGUGAGCCUUACAGCAUCUCAAUGAUGAAAGAAGCUACGAGAUCAAGC
ensembl:antisense Gm2245 predicted gene 2245